AGCGAACGCUGGCGGCAGGCUUAACACAUGCAAGUCGAGCGGGCACUUUCGGGUGUCAGCGGCGGACGGGUGAGUAACGCGUGGGAACGUGCCCUCUGGUUCGGAAUAACUCAGGGAAACUUGAGCUAAUACCGGAUACGCCCUUUUGGGGAAAGGCUUGCUGCCGGAGGAUCGGCCCGCGUCUGAUUCGCUAGUUGGUGAGGUAACGGCUCACCAAGGCGACGAUCAGUAGCUGGUCUGAGAGGAUGAUCAGCCACCAUGGGACUGAGACACGGCCCAGACUCCUACGGGAGGCAGCAGUGGGGAAUAUUGGACGAUGGGCGCAAGCCUGAUCCAGCCAUGCCGCGUGAGGGAUGAAGGCGUUAUGGUUGUAAAGCUCUUUUAUCCGGGACGAUAAUGACGGUACCGGAGGAAUAAGCCCCGGCUAACUUCGUG
rnacentral:rRNA from 1 species